GAGAGAGGAGUUGGACAUCUCUUUAUCUCUGGUAGUUAGUCUUCAUUUAAAUUUUUUGGAAAUCGACCCGCGAUGACGAGGUAUAUCGUUUUAUCUGACAGCGUGAGGUUUAUGAACUUCAUUUCUAAUAUUGUAUUGUGGCAUAUCAGAAAUUAUUUUUCUUCGAAAAUCGCUCGCUUACAACGGAUAAAACGACUUCUGAGUGGU
rnacentral:snoRNA from 1 species